rnacentral:rRNA from 1 species
CCUACGGGAGGCAGCAGUGGGGAAUUUUGGACAAUGGGCGCAAGCCUGAUCCAGCAAUGCCGCGUGAGUGAAGAAGGCCUUCGGGUUGUAAAGCUCUUUUGUCAGGGAAGAAACGGCCGAGGCUAAUACCUUUGGCUAAUGACGGUACCUGAAGAAUAAGCACCGGCUAACUACGUGCCAGCAGCCGCGGUAAUACGUAGGGUGCAAGCGUUAAUCGGAAUUACUGGGCGUAAAGCGUGCGCAGGCGGUUUUGUAAGUCUGUCGUGAAAUCCCCGGGCUCAACCUGGGAAUUGCGAUGGAGACUGCAAGGCUAGAAUCUGGCAGAGGGGGGUAGAAUUCCACGUGUAGCAGUGAAAUGCGUAGAGAUGUGGAGGAACACCGAUGGCGAAGGCAGCCCCCUGGGUCAAGAUUGACGCUCAUGCACGAAAGCGUGGGGAGCAAACAGGAUUAGAUACCCUGGUAGUCCACGCCCUAAACGAUGUCUACUAGUUGUCGGGUCUUAAUUGACUUGGUAACGCAGCUAACGCGUGAAGUAGACCGCCUGGGGAGUACGGUCGCAAGAUUAAAACUCAAAUGAAAUUGACGG